rnacentral:rRNA from 1 species
CAGCUGCCCUGAUGUCUGCCAUUUACGAGGAGAACAAGGACGAGGACGGCUUCCUCUACAUGACCUACAGCGGCGAGAACACCUUCGGAUUGCUCUAGAUGGCGCUGGCUGCCACGGCAAUCGCUCUGAAUGCCUCCUGUAAAUAAGGCGUGCCAAUCAACUGUGUAUAUAUUCCGGUUUGCCUCGUCGUAGGAUCUUUAAAUUGCACAACCAAGAAAAAUCUAUUCGUGUCCUGACUUAUCCUAUUUGAAUGUUCU